rnacentral:rRNA from 1 species
GGUUCCGUCCUGGCUCCAGAACGGGAUGCUUUACACAUGCAAGUCGAACGGCAGCGCGGACUUCGGUCUGGUGGCGGGCGAACGGGUGAGUAAUGUAUCAGAACGUGCCUAGUAGCGGGGGAUAACUACGCGAAAGCGUAGCUAAUACCAUACGCCCUUCGAGGAAGCGAAGCUGGGCCUCGCACUAUUAAACGGCCGAUAUCGGAUUAGCUAGUUGGUGGGGUAACGGCUCACCAAGGCGACGAUCCGUAGCUGGUUUGAGGACGACCAGCCACACUGGGACUGAGACCACGGCAGACUCACGGGAGGCAGCAGUGGGGGAAUUUUGGACAAUGGGGAAACCCUGAUCCAGCCAUCCCGUGUACGAUGAAGGCCUUCGGGUUGUAAAGCACUUUUGGCGGAAAGAAACGGCUGGAUAAUACCCCGAUACAGCAGCUGACUACCUGCAGAACCGGCACCGGCUAACUACACGUGCCAGCAGCCGCGGUAAUACGUAGGGUGCAAGCGUUAAUCGGAAUUACUGGGCGUAAAGCGUGCGCAGGCGGUUCAGGAAGAAGGUGCUUAAAAUCCCAGAGCUUAACUUUGGAACUGCAUUUUUUAUUGCAAAGAGCUAGAGUGUGUCAGAGGAGGUGGAAUUCCGCGUGUAGCGGUGAAAUGCGUAGAUAUGGGAGGAACACCGAUGGCGAAGCAACCUCCUGGGAUAACACUGACGCUCAUGCACGAAAGCGUGGGGAGCAAACAGGAUUAGAUACCCUGGUGAUCCGCCUAAACGAUGUCAGCAGCUGUUCGGACCUUCGGGCCUUGAUAAGCGCAGCUAACGCGUGAGAUUGACCGCCUGGGAAAGAUACGGUCGCAAGAUUAAAACUCAAGAUGGCAGGGACCCACAAAAACUAGUGGAUGAUGUGGAUUAAUUCGAUGCAACACGAAAAACCUUACUACCCUUGACACAUCUGGGAAUCCCGAAGAGAUUUGGGAGUGCUCGCAAGGUAGAACAGGUGCUGCAUGGCUGUCAUCCGCUCGUGUCGUGAGAUGUUGGGUUAAGUCCCGCAACGAGCGCAACCCUUGUCAUUAGUUACUACGAAGGCACUCCUAAUGAGACUGCCGGUAACAAACCCGGAGGAAGGGGGGAUGACGUCAAGUCCUCAUAUGCAUAUGGGUAGGGCUUCACACGUCAUACAGUGGACAGAGGUCGCCAACCCGCGAGGGGGAGCCAAUCCCAGAAACCCGAUCGUAGUCCGGAUAAGUCUGCAACUCGACUGCACGUGAAGUCGGAAUGCUUCAGUAAUCGCGGAUCAGCAUGUGGUGAAUACAUUCCCAGGUCUUGUACACACCGCCGUCACACCGUAAGUCGGUUUUACCAGAAGUAGUUAGCCUAGCCGUAAGGGCUGAUUACUACGGCUGAUUCGCAGCUGGGGUGAAGUCGUAACAAAAGGUAA